rnacentral:rRNA from 1 species
GAUGAACGCUAGCUACAGGCUUAACACAUGCAAGUCGAGGGGAAACGACAUCGAAAGCUUGCUUUUGAUGGGCGUCGACCGGCGCACGGGUGAGUAACGCGUAUCCAACCUGCCCACCACCUGGGGAUCACCUUGCGAACGUAAGCCUAAUACCCAAUGACGACUCUAGAAGACAUCCGACAGAGAUUAAAGAUUUAUCGGUGAUGGAUUGGGAAGCGUCUGAUUAGCUUGUUGGCGGGGUAACGGCCCACCAAGGCGACGAUCAGUAGGGGUUCUGAGAGGAAGGUCCCCCACAUUGGAACUGAGACACGGUCCAAACUCCUACGGGAGGCAGCAGUGAGGAAUAUUGGUCAAUGGGCGAGAGCCUGAACCAGCCAAGUAGCGUGCAGGAUGACGGCCCUAUGGGUUGUAAACUGCUUUUAUAAGGGAAUAAAGUGAGUCUCGUGAGACUUUUUGCAUGUACCUUAUGAAUAAGGACCGGCUAAUUCCGUGCCAGCAGCCGCCGUAA